CUUUGUGACUCCUACGGGAGGCAGCAGUGGGGAAUAUUGCACAAUGGGCGCAAGCCUGAUGCAGCAACGCCGUGUGAGUGAAGAAGGUUUCGGAUCGUAAAACUCUGUCCUAAGGGAAGAAACAAAUGACGGUACCUUAGGAGGAAGCCCCGGCUAACUACGUGCCAGCAGCCGCGGUAAUACGUAGGGGGCAAGCGUUAUCCGGAAUCACUGGGCGUAAAGGGUGCGUAGGCGGCUUAGCAAGCCAGGGGUGAAAGGCAUUGGCUCAACCAAUGUAAGCCUUUGGAACUGUUAAGCUUGAGUGCAGGAGAGGUAAGUGGAAUUCCUAGUGUAGAGGUGAAAUUCGUAGAUAUUAGGAGGAACACCAGUGGCGAAGGCGACUUACUGGACUGUAACUGACGCUGAUGCACGAAAGCGUGGGUAGCGAACAGGAUUAGAUACCCUGGUAG
rnacentral:rRNA from 1 species